CGUGAUGGGAUUUAGCUUUAGCGUAUACAAGUACUGUUGAUAUUUUACAUAUCGUGAUGAUUAGGAAAGACCACCUGAGAUCGUCUAGACGAUGAAGAGGUUUCCCGGGGUGAUGCAUUGCAAGUUUCAACUGGUCCCAAGAACACCCAUUUGCAUUACUAUCAGCAGAUACUCCAGGCAAUUCAAUUUGUUUCUUUCCUGGCUUUUGGGGGAAUCUACAUUCAAGGUAGCUCAGUCAUCCAGAGUGUGGUGUAUGAGCAGGUCGAAUGGUGCUCAUACGUAUAUGAAGUUAUUGGAAAUGUACUGCACGCACACACAAAGUAUACUUCAGAGGAAAUAUUUGUCACGAAUUUCGAUGUGUCCUGCGCUUCAGUACACAGCAUGUAUGAUGCAUCUGCAUCAUGACUACCUAAUGUUGCUAGAGAAU